rnacentral:rRNA from 1 species
GAUGAACGCUGGCGGCGUGCUUAACACAUGCAAGUCGAACGAUGAAAGCGGGAGCUUGCUCCUGCUGGAUUAGUGGCGAACGGGUGAGUAACACGUGAGCAAUCUGCCCCGAACUCUGGGAUAAGCGUUGGAAACGACGUCUAAUACCGGAUACGACACGCGAAGGCAUCUUCUGCGCGUGGAAAGAACUUCGGUUCGGGAUGAGCUCGCGGCCUAUCAGCUAGUUGGUGAGGUAACGGCCCACCAAGGCGACGACGGGUAGCCGGCCUGGGAGGGUGACCGGCUACACUGGGACUGAGACACGGCCCAGACUCCUACGGGAGGCAGCAGUGGGGAAUAUUGCACAAUGGGCGCAAGCCUGAUGCAGCAACGCCGCGUGAGGGACGACGGCCUUCGGGUUGUAAACCUCUUUUAGUAGGGAAGAAGCGAAAGUGACGGUACCUGCAGAAAAAGCACCGGCUAACUACGUGCCAGCCGCCGCCGUAAGAC